UGUUAUCCUGUUCACUGCAUUUGAUCUUCAUUAUUGCAAUUGUAAACAUUCUUGCUAAGAAUUGAUACGAUGUCAUCCUAGAGUUUACUUGUCACAUCAUUGCAGCAUUUUCUUGUGUUUUAGUUUUAUGAAUGCACGUUGCUUUAUUUAUGCACAUCAUAGCCUAUGCUUAUUUUGUUGAUCAUGUUUUUGCUCAAAUUGUUCUAUAUGUGACUUUUCUACCCUCUAUGCCAUCAUUGCAUAUAUGAUCUAUUUUAUUUAGAUAAGGUAUGUUAAAUAAUGAUUCUGAAGCUUUCUUAUUCAUUUCUUGCACAAGCAUGAUCCUAUCUGUUUACCCUAUCUAGUCUUACUUGAUUCAGGCAUGCUUUGUGUUUUCUUAUCAGUUGCUUACCUUAUCCUAAACAUGUGCACUAAUUUAAAAUUGUUUUGCAGAUGUAGCAUCGAAGAAAGACUCUUGCCAGGAAACGAGUUCCCCCAGUGCCACAGCCUGUACCUCCAGUUGCAGAGUCUCCCUCUUCAACUUCUUCUUCCUCGGCAUCAGUUCAUUCUAAUACAUCUGCCAUGGAUAUCGAGCAUGCCAUUGUUAGAGAGGUCCCCACUGAGUUUUAUGCUAGUAGAGCCUGGAGACCGAGCAUAGAUUUGAUAUAACUACAUUUGCUACAUUGGACCAGACUAGAUGGUCUUAUGAUGAGUUUGUGAGACGGGGUAGCACAGCCAUUAUGACUCCUGCAGACAUAGUUGUCUAUCCCCGGUUGGUUGCUCUCUUCUAUCAGCACCUCCGGAUGGAUGAGGACGACAAAAUUCUACUGCACACCACCAUCAAUGGUCAGGAGAUAGACAUUUCUUUGCCGGCCAUAGCUGCUGCCAGCCGUUGCCCCCACACUUCUCCACUAGAUGAGGAUACUCAGGAGCCUCUCUACCCUGAUCAUCCACCAUUCCCUACUGAGCAGACCAUGGUUGCCAUAUUAUCACCACAGGUGGUAUAUGAGGGGCACAAAUUUUUAGACCGGGUUGAGAUAGAUCCCCAGUACUAGUUCUUCAACUCCGUGCUUCACCUCAAUACCUUCCCUACCGGUCGUGGCACUUAGAGGAGAGAGGGCAUAUUUUAGGCUUUAUAUUGUUUACAUCAGGGAUACUGGAUCUCCAUUCCUGCGCUCAUCUAGGAGCUUAUCCACAAGUUCUGGAAGAACUUGCAUUUUACAUCUACCACCAGAGCUGAGACCUAGCUGUUACCUUUUAGCCAUCUUAUCACACAGCUGCUCAUCGACCAAGGAUACCAGUUUGACCCUGAAGAGAUCCCAGAGCCCGACAAUGACAGGGCAAAAAGAGCUUAUGAUCUGACCAAGUGGAAUAAGACUUUCAAUGCUUGCCGCAAAAACAAAGCCAAUAGGGACAUGAAGAGAUUACAAGCACAGUUACAGAGAGAGGUAGCAUAGGAAGUAGCAGUAAGCGAUGCUCCAGAGGAUGAUACAGCUGAUAGAUCUCCUCCUAGACAAAGACGUCGCGUUACUAUUUCCGGAUCCACCCCCCAGCCAAAUGUACUGGCUGCAUCACAGCAAACCAUCCUCCCGCACUGAUUCUAGCUACAGAUCAGAGGUAGCUCAGUUGCAUACAGAUUUCAUAUCCUUCAGAGCUGACAUGACUGGUCGAUAUGAGGAUAUUUCGUGGAGGUAUGAUGACCUGGUGAGGAGACACGACGAUCUGGUAGGGAGACAUGAUGAUUUAGUUCGGAGAUCAAAUGCCCUGCGUGCUUAGGUAGCUAAGGUGAGACAUAAGCUUGGAGCUUUGAGGACUGACCUUACCACUUCGCUCACUCGCCUAGCUAAGGUGAGACAUGAGCUUGGAGCUUUAAGGACCGAUCUUACCACUUCGCUCACUCGCCAUAGCACCGAGAUGUCUGCCAUGCUGCAGCAUAUUUCUGACAUAAUUACUCCAGACCCCUCUGUUUGAUGCCAUCAUUUUCUCUCUCUCAUACUCAUUAUCUCUAUUGCUCUGACUGUGAUUUUUCUCCAUCAUAUUUAGAUUUUUGCACUGGUUUUCGAUAUUUUCCUGGAUACUUAUUUGGAUAUUUCUGUUAGAUACUGCUUUGGAUAUUUAUUCUUGGAUAUUUGAUAUUUGGAUAUUGUUUUAUAUGGUUGUUUUGGAUGCUUUCUGGAUAGUUGGUUUUGCACUUAUUUUUUAUAUAUGGAUUUUUGGAUAUUUGAUAUCAGUUUUGUAUGUUAUGAGCCAUAUCUUGCUAUAUGCCAUGAUUUUUGCCCAGUUCUCAGUUUUACUUCUCAAAUAUAUCAUUGAUGCAUAUGCUUUGACAGUUGUUAGUGUGACCAUUUUCAGACAGGUUUUUGGAAUCUAAGUUUGGGGGUGCACCUUCCAAAGCUAAGCUUUCGUUGCCGGGUCCCUUUUGCUUCACCCAUUUGGUAUACUCUUUCCAUUAUCUAUUGCUUCUUUGUACAUUAAGGACAAUGUACAGAUUAAGUUUGGGGGUGUAUUAACAUAUCUUACAUGUUGUACUUCAUUUCUAUGCGUGUGGUAUGAUUUGAGAGUCUGGGCUAUGAUUUUGAUCUUUUGAGGGCCAUGAUACUUAGAAUUUAAAGAAAUUGCUUGACUUGAGAGUCCAAUACUCCUUGUAUGCCUUGUGGAUGCCAUUUAGGAAAAUUUUUUCGAAAGAUUGAUAUCUUGUUCGCAUUUGUGGUCCACAUUAUUCUAAUUUUGUGAUUGUUUUAAGAUGCACUCUAGGAUUCUACACUAGCAUAAGCGCACAAUAGCAUUCAUUUGUGGGGAACAUGCUAUGUUGAUUAUUGAAUUGGUUAUAUCCCAAUUGGGCUAAUAGUGCAUUGAAAGCUUUCAUUUUGACAAAAGUAGAUAAUAAUCCCUUUUCAUUGAGUAGCAGGGAUUCUAGCCUCAUCAAGCACUGAAUUUCUUGCGCCGAAAGGUGGAGGACCCAAACUCUAGGUUAAUAAUUGAACUUAAAAAAAAAAAAAAAAAAAAAAGUUACAAAAGCAAUAAAAAAGUGAGGACUUCUCCCAAAAGGUGAGAAGUGGGAAAUGAUUAGAUGGAGGUUUUUUUAUAUAUGUAGCUUAGUUGAUUUGAGCUUAUAAGUCCUUAGGGGUGUUUGAACACCUAAUGCCCUAAAGCCAUCCGGUUUGGGAGUCAUUGACCUAACGCUCGACUUCAUGGAUCGCUAGAAAGCUUAAUAGAUCAACACAUUGCACCAUGCUACCAUCUUUGAUCCUUAGGAUAGUAAAAAAAAAAAAAUCGAGUGAAAAGAAUAAGCAUACCUAGUUGAAUAAGCUUUAAUAAAAGGUCCACUCUUUGUUUUGAUGAUCGGGACUAGAUUUGUGUGCUAGUUUGAGGGUAAAGAUGUGAUCAUUUCUUUAGUUGGCUUAGAUAACAACAUAUUUGAUGUCAGUUCACUCAAAAAGGAUUCUAAUGUUUUUUUGAUUUGCAUAAUCAUUCUCUUGAUGUGUGGAAGACCAUACACUACAACAAAUGUGACCCUUUGUGAUGAAAAUUUUAGCAACAAAAUUGAUUUUGUGAGUAAAGGUAGCUCUUUAGUAACGACCAUAAUCUUUGUCACAAAAAGAAUAUACUUUAGUGUCGAAAUAUAACGUUGGUCACUACAUGUUACAUUUUAAUGGCUAAAGAUUAUAUCGUCUCCCUUUUCUCUAUACUAGGUCGUAUCCCUAAGAAUUAGACUUUCUAAAAAUAACCCAUCCCCAUAUUAUAUCUUAAAGACAAAAAUCACAUCUAAUCUUAAUUACCUCAUAAUGAAAAAACACUGGUAUACCCUAAUGACCCCCAAAAAUUUUCCUUUGAUUUCCCAUCGCGCCUAAUUUACACACGAUUUCUCAUCUUCAAUAUAUAAUUGCCCCCACACAAAAGGGUAGAGAGAAUGGCGAUGAAUAUAGGGAUGAUGGAUAAUGCGUACUUUGUUGGGAGGGGUGAGAUUCUCUCUUGGAUCAAUGCCAGGCUUUCAGCUCAAUCUAUCUCGUAUUGAGGAGGCUUGAUAAUUCUUAAAUUAGCGAGGAUUUUUACUGAUCAUACUCUGGCUUGAUAAUUCUUAAAUUAACGAGGCUUUUUACUGAUCAUACUCUGAGUGAUUGAUUGGGGAUGACAUGAAGAAAACGAAGUGCUCAGGGAAACGACGAACUAAAGUGACGAGAUUCGAUAAAAAGAACUUUGAAGUGUUACCAUAGAUGGAGAGUUGGGAGUUUACUUUUAUGUUUUAGUUUGGUCUUUUGUAUUAGACAAUUGAAAGUUUAGUUUAUAUUUUGCCUUAGAAUUGAACAA